rnacentral:piRNA from 1 species
UGCCACAGAUAGAAUUGCCUAGUUACAA